CAGCCGCCGCGGUAAUACGUAGGUGGCAAGCGUUGUCCGGAAUUAUUGGGCGUAAAGGGCUCGCAGGCGGUUUCUUAAGUCUGAUGUGAAAACCCCCGGCUCAACCGGGGAGGGUUAUUGGAAACUGGGAAACUUGAGUGCAGAAGAGGAGAGUGGAAUUCCACGUGUAGCGGUGAAAUGCGUAGAGAUGUGGAGGAACACCAGUGGCGAAGGCGACUCUCUGGUCUGUAACUGACGCUGAGGAGCGAAAGCGUGGGGAGCGAACAGGAUUAGAUACCCCUGUAGUCCCUGUCUCUUAUAC
rnacentral:rRNA from 1 species